rnacentral:lncRNA from 1 species
GCAAUUUCCACUGAAAGAUGCCCAGCAGGAGCCAGCUCAGUCCUGAAAAGGCGCUCAGUCAUCAGAACCAGAGCAGGUGCAGCCCUGCCUGCCACUGUGCAGCAAAUGUGUGAGGGCUCCCAGCCGCAGCCUACCUUAUGAGCUCGAUCACCGGGUCCCAGAGCGCGCUGAAGUUGACGUACAGCAUGCCCAGCAGCACCCAAAAUUAAACAGAAGAAUCACCGUAACAAACAGCACCUGAAGUCAUUCCAGAUGUUCAUUUGACUAAAAAUUAAAUUCCACUCUAAGAAACACCUGCUCAAACAUGCUAGGCAAGUGCCUCACCUGGGAAAAGUCUUCAAAACUAUACUUUAAAAAAGUUUGUUCAGGAUUGGGAUUCCUACUUGUUUCACAUAAUGGAAACCUGACAUACGCAAACCAAGAAAAUAAUGAGGAAGAAGGCUAAGACUCAACUUUCAAAGUGGUUUUGUUAGGAAACAUAGUGCUUUACUCUUGGCUUAUUAUAGAUAGAUGAGCUAGGCAGAAAUAUUAUAGGCAGUCAGAUAGGGCUGAGUCCUCGGGAGGGCCAGGACAAGGUGAAACACAGCACAGCUGCACAUCGGCUGAAAACCAGGCCUCAAGAUGGAGACAAGACGACCAGACCCACAUACUUCUUCAAAGAACUGGGCUCAGCAAAGUACAGAUAGGCAUCGACCACCCUGGGGGUGGCCAGAGACCUCUGGACCCGCUGGCCCCUAGGAGAAUCCUUGUUCUUUCAUCCUUGCUGGCUGUGUGACUCGCUUCCCAACUGGACCACUAUUCCCUAAGUGACUGUACUUGUAACCUUAUUGGAUGUUCAUGGCUGUGGCCCACGUUGUACCCUUGUGGGCUUUACCCUAUAAAACUUCUCUGUGAAGUAGGGUCCUUGGGCUACCCACUUGGGACCCCUCCUGCCCCUAGGAGCUUUCCUG